rnacentral:rRNA from 1 species
GACGAACGCUGGCGGCGUGCCUAACACAUGCAAGUCAACUUGACUGAAGGAGCAAUCUGACAGUAGAGUGGCGCAAGGGUGCGUAACGCGUAAGUAACUUGCCCAAGGUAAGGAAUAACGUCGAGAAAUCGGCGCUAAUACCUCAUAAUGCAGCGGAUCCGCAUGGAUAUGUUGUUAAAGGUUUACCGCCUUGGGAUAGGCUUGCGUCUGAUUAGCUAGUUGGUGUGGUAACGGCACACCAAGGCUACGAUCAGUAACUGGUCUGAGAGGAUGAUCAGUCACACUGGAACUGAGACACGGUCCAGACUCCUACGGGAGGCAGCAGUGAGGAAUAUUGGGCAAAUGCUCGAAAGAGUGACCCAGCAACGCCGCGUGGAGGAUGAAGGUAUUCUAUAUCGUAAACUCCUGUGAGAGCAGACGAAAGACAGAUUAUUAAUCUGGAUGACUGUAUGCUCAGAGGGAGCCCCGGCUAACUACG